GUUGCCCAGGCUGGUCUCCAACUCCUAGACUCAAGCGAUCCUCCCACCUCAGCCUCCAGAAGUGCUGAGAUUACAGCAGUGAGCCACAGCACCCAGCCUUAGGCUGACUAGAGGAACUUUCUCUGAACCAUCUCUUGGACUCCAGCCUGCAUGCACAGACCCCCAGGUUAUUACCAUCUCCAGAUCCCAGCCCUACUCUGAAUUCUUCAGUGCACCGACUAUGUUACCAUCAUGGCCGAUGUCCACUCAACUGUCUAUGCUGCCUGGCACCUAUAAAGACCCCUAGGUCUGAGUCCUCCCACUUAAUCUCUUCAAUUUACUCCUCAUGACAACCUUGUAUGGGGUAUUAUCCCCUAUAUAUUCAUUGCAGUGGGACUGUGUCAGGGCGCCCUGCCUUCAUCCCAGGAGAGCAAAUCUCACUUGGCCCCAGGGAGUUGUAUUUGGGAAUGUGAAUCACCUUGACAUUUCUGUGAAACAGGAAGUGGCUGGAUGAUACAGCAGUAAAAAUAAUCACACUCAA